GAUCCUGGCUCAGAAUCAACGCUGGCGGCGUGCCUAACACAUGCAAGUCGAACGAGAAAGUGGAGCAAUCCAUGAGUAAAGUGGCGCACGGGUGAGUAACACGUGACUAACCUACCCUUGAGUGGGGGAUAACCUCGGGAAACCUUGGCUAAUACCGCAUAACACCUACGGGUCAAAGGAGCAAUUCGCUUAAGGAGGGGGUCGCGGCAGAUUAGUUAGUUGGCAGGGUAAUGGCCUACCAAGACAGUGAUCUGUAUCCGGCCUGAGAGGGCGCACGGACACACUGGAACUGAAACACGGUCCAGACUCCUACGGGAGGCAGCAGUGGGGAAUUUUGCGCAAUGGGGGAAACCCUGACGCAGCAACGCCGCGUGGAGGAUGAAGUCCCUUGGGACGUAAACUCCUUUCGACCGGGACGAUAAUGACGGUACCGGAAGAAGAAGCCCCGGCUAACUUCGUGCCAGCAGCCGCGGUAAUACGAGGGGGGCGAGCGUUGUUCGGAAUUAUUGGGCGUAAAGGGUGCGUAGGCGGUUCGGUAAGUUUCGUGUGAAAUCUUCGGGCUCAACUCGAAGUCUGCACGAGAUACUGCCGGGCUUGAGUGUGGGAGAGGUGAGUGGAAUUUCCGGUGUAGCGGUGAAAUGCGUAGAUAUCGGAAGGAACACCUGUGGCGAAAGCGGCUCACUGGACCAU
rnacentral:rRNA from 1 species